CAUUGAUAUUAUGUUGAUACUCCUAAAUAUAAAGCUUUAUUACGACUGUCACAUAAACUUAACAUGAACCAUGAAAAUGAGGUCAAGGUCAGUUGAACCAUAUGUCAGGCAGACAUGUACAGCUAACAAUGCUUCCAUACAACAAAUAUAGUUGACCUAUUGCUUAUAGUUUAAGAAAAUAGACCAAAACACAAAAACUUAACACUGAGCAAUGAACCGUGAAAACCAGGUCAAGGUCAAAUAAAACCUGCACGACUGACAUAUAGAUCAUAAAAUAUUUCCAUACACCAAAUAUAGUUGACCUAUGACAUAUAGUAUUAGAUAAAAAGACCAAAACUCAAAAACUUAACUUUGACCACUGAACCAUGAAAAUGAGGUCAAGGUCAGAUGACAUCUCCCCGCUAGACAUGUACACCUUACAAUCAUUCCAUACAACAAAUAUAGUAAACCUAUUGCAUAAAGUAUGAGAAAAACAGACCAAAACACAAAAACUUAACUAUAACCACUGAACCAUGAAAAUGAGGACAAGGUCAGAUGACAUCUGCCCGCUAGACAUGUACACCUUACAAUCAUUCCAUACAACAAAUAUAGUAGACCUAUUGCAUAAAGUAUGAGAAAAAAACAGACCAAAAACACAAAACUUAACUAUAACCACUGAACCAUGAAAAUGAGGUCAAGGUCAGAUGACACCUGCCAGUUGGACAUGUACACCUUACAGUCCUUCCAUACACCGAAUAUACUAGACCUAUUGAUUAUAGUAUCUGAGAUAUGGACUUGACCACCAAAACUUAACCUUGUUCACUGAUCCAUGGAAUGAGGUUGAGGACAAGUGAAAACUGUCUGACGGGCAUGAGGACCUUGCAAGGUACGCAC
rnacentral:lncRNA from 1 species